GAAAGUGUUGGAAUUCAAGGAAACAAGCUAGGUGGUGAGACGUCCGGAAAAGGCAAAGGAAUUACGCCUGAGGACUAUUAGUCAGAGUUCACCCGGAAUCCGGAUUUUCGACACCUAUCAGGUGACUGUUGGACCCUAGAUCGAGGAGUCCCCGU
rnacentral:sRNA from 1 species